AUACGUAGGUGGCAAGCGUUAUCCGGAUUUACUGGGUGUAAAGGGCGUGUAGGCGGGACUGCAAGUCAGAUGUGAAAAUUAUGGGCUCAACCCAUAACCUGCAUUUGAAACUGUGGUUCUUGAGUGAUGGAGAGGCAGGCGGAAUUCCGUGUGUAGCGGUGAAAUUCGUAGAUAUUCGGAAGAACACCAGUGGCGAAGGCGACUUACUGGACUGAAACUGACGCUGAGGCUCGAAAGCGUGGGGAGC
rnacentral:rRNA from 1 species